rnacentral:rRNA from 1 species
GCCGAGCGGUAGAUUGCUUUCGGGUAAUUGAGAGCGGCGUACGGGUGCGGAACACGUGUGCAACCUGCCUUUAUCUGGGGGAUAGCCUUUCGAAAGGAAGAUUAAUACCCCAUAAUAUGUUGAAUGGCAUCAUUCGACAUUGAAAGCUCCGGCGGAUAGAGAUGGGCACGCGCAAGAUUAGAUAGUUGGUGAGGUAACGGCUCACCAAGUCAAUGAUCUUUAGGGGGCCUGAGAGGGUGAUCCCCCACACUGGUACUGAGACACGGACCAGACUCCUACGGGAGGCAGCAGUGAGGAAUAUUGGACAAUGGGUGAGAGCCUGAUCCAGCCAUCCCGCGUGAAGGAUGACGGCCCUAUGGGUUGUAAACUUCUUUUGUACAGGGAUAAACCUGCCCUCGUGAGGGUAGCUGAAGGUACUGUACGAAUAAGCACCGGCUAACUCCGUGCCAGCAGCCGCGGUAAUACGGAAGGUGCAAGCGUUAUCCGGAUUUAUUGGGUUUAAAGGGUCCGUAGGCGGAUCUGUAAGUCAGUGGUGAAAUCUCACAGCUUAACUGUGAAACUGCCAUUGAUACUGCAGGUCUUGAGUAAAUUUGAAGUGGCUGGAAUAAGUAGUGUAGCGGUGAAAUGCAUAGAUAUUACUUAGAACACCAAUUGCGAAGGCAGGUCACUAAGAUUUAACUGACGC